UCGAAUCCAGCUCAAACGUCAUGGUUCUAGUCAGGACAACUGAUGAGACUGAUGCGCCUGCCAAACACAAACCGCUGCGGCCCUGCGGCUGUGAUUGCGUACCCAAUGAUAUCAAUGUUUGAAGGACUUCUUGUGGACCAUCAGAUGCACCAAAAAAAAAAACGGCAACCAAAACAACAAGAACAACAACAACUACUACUACUACUACUACCACUACUACGAUUACUACUAGUACUAUUAGCACAACUAUAUCUACUAUCAUAAUCGACAACACCAGAGCGAAGGCCUGCAGUAUUCUGUUUGUAACGAUGUAUUCGUGUAUUUUUGUACUUCUCGUAGAGCAUAGAGCUUCGCCGUCUUUGUUUGUGAGUGGAUGUUCGAAUCAUUCGAAAUUGACCAAGAAUAACUAAUGCUAUAGUUAACACAUUUUUGUAUCAUGCAAGCGACCAAAAACAUUGUAAUAUUAUCAAACUAAACCAAAUUCUGAACACCAAAAACUUCAAAUCAGUACUGGAAAAAGUAACUAAAAACCGACCGCGGUCCUCCUCCCUCUUUAGCGUGUACAAUGAUCGUUAGCACGGUAGUUUUCCGAACGCCCCGCCAUCCGGAGCAAGUUCAAGAAAUUCCAUUUACUAUCAAACAUAAUCAAACCAACCGAGUAGAAUCAAAUUGACCACGUUGCCCCACCAAGCGAGAGUGAGAGAGAAACAAAAAAAAAGAAAUGCAAUCGAUCUAGCACAUAGCAUGCCACCGCCGCCAAGUAUAGCCACUUUCCCAACCAAGGCGUGGUCACGGAUUUGUAACCUGGCAUAAUUUGUAGCGAACCUCUGAAACGUGUGGUUUCUGAUUGUGUCUUAGUUUACCCGAGCGUCAGUUGUACACAUUAAUGACCAAAGAAAGAUUCGGCUGCACAACACCAGCACAGACAACAACGACAACAUCACCCACGCCAGCACAAACCACCGCAAUCAGUAACAAUAAUAUCAAUGCGAUCGUCGUGAACCCCACCACCCUCAAUUCGUCACCGGCGCUCGGCAUGAAACCACUAGCCACUAGCAGCAGAACCAUCAGCUAUAGCAACAAUAACAUCAGCUGCAUCAUCACUACUCCACCGGAGCCCACAAAACCGCCCAGGGCUUCGCUUGUAUUAUUGACAUCCUCUACCACCUCCUCCUUCUCCUCCAGCCCAUCCAUUCUGAAUGCAAGCAACCAGCCGAGAAAGUCGCCCGUCGGUGGAGAGGGUAAACGUUGAAAAUUGAUAGAUCUCUGUGUUCACGACCUUGCUCCGUUAGCUAGCUAGGCUUUCCCCUCAUGGGCACCGUGAUUUUUCUUGCUCCAUAUCCUGUUGUUGAUCAUCAGUGAUGAUUCUGUAGGGAAAAAAAUAUCCUUUCUCUUUUACAUCCUCUACCACCAAGAGCUACCCGCUAAUUAACGUCGCCAGCAGCAAAGCAGAACCGUGCGAUCGUGAAAUAUUCGGUAACCAAUCAAUAAAGCAUUUCCACUGAUUGUGAAAAUAAAGAAAAAAGAUCAAACAGACACACUGAACAGUAAUCGUCAAUCAAAUCCUGUUUACGUUUAAACAACAAUCAAAUAGCUGUUGGUGAAUGUUUAAUGUUUGAAAUAAAAGUGACUAUUUUAAUAACAGAAUUUUACGCAACAAAACAUCAAGUAUAUACCAAUACAGCACGGGCAGGUACCCACAGAGAAUAGUUGUUGAGUAUUACAUGUAUUGAGAACAGGUGAAGAAUUGAAAUCAUUAAUCAUAUCUGUAAAACAAGUCAAACACGAAACAAUAACAGUAUUUGUAAAAAAAAAACGAAUCCAAUCACGUUGUCCGCAGAGAAGAAUACGAAGUCUAGUGAGAUUUAAUCUGGAAGUGAAAAGGAUAACACGCAGGUCGUGAUGUAUGCUUUGCAGGCCAGGACGAGUUACACUUAUUUUACAGGGUGAUUUUUUAAGAGCUUGAGAACUUUUUUAAACAAUAAAACGCAUAAAAUUUGCAAAAUCUCAUCGGUUCUUUAUUUUAAACGUUAGAUUGGUACAUGACAUUUACUUUUUGAAGAUAAUUUCAUUUAAAUGUUGACCGCGGCUGCGUCUUAGGUGGUCCAUUCGGAAAGUCCAAUUUUGGGCAACUUUUUCGAGCAUUUCGGCCGGAAUAGCCCGAAUUUCUUCGGAAAUGUUGUCUUCCAAAGCUGGAAUAGUUACUGGCUUAUUUCUGUAGACUUUAGACUUGACGUAGCCCCACAAAAAAUAGUCUAAAGGCGUCAAAUCGCAUGAUCUUGGUGGCCAACUUACCGGUCCAUUUCUUGAGAUGAAUUGUUCUCCGAAGUUUUCCCUCAAAAUGGCCAUAGAAUCGCGAGCU